CCAUUUAAAAUGCCCAGAUUCAAGAGGCAAGCAGAAAGGAGAGUUGAGGAAGGGUCUUGAGCAGGGACUGCUGGAAAAGCAGAGCUGGUGGAACUUGGAGAGCUGUGGCUUCCUGUGGUUGUUGAAGGUGACGGUCACCUUAAUCCUGGCUGGGCAGUGCUG
rnacentral:lncRNA from 1 species